rnacentral:rRNA from 1 species
UACGUAGGUGGCUAGCGUUGUCCGGAUUUACUGGGCGUAAAGAGCGCGCAGGCGGUCGUUCAAGUCGAGUGUGAAAGCCCCCGGCUCAACUGGGGAGGGUCACUCGAUACUGAUCGACUUGAAGGCGGGAGAGGGGAGCGGAAUUCCCAGUGUAGCGGUGAAAUGCGUAGAUAUUGGGAGGAACACCCGUGGCGAAGGCGGCCAACUGGGAUACACCUGACGCUGAGGCACGAAGGCGUGGGGAGCGAACGGG